AGCUGCUGUGUGGAGAAUGGAAAUCCAGACAGAAGGUGGUUGGAGUUGUCUGGGCAAGAAAUGGAAUAGCUCAAUCCUCCAAGGUGACCCUCCAAGGAAACAGCGAGAAAUAGACAGAAAUGAAGUAUAUUUUAGAAGGAGAUUCUGGGACUUGACAAUAGCCUGGAUAUUGGAAAUGAGGAAGAAGGGGUCAGCGGUGGCCCCCAGGCUUGUGGCAUGGAAUUGACUUCAGCCUCCAGAAAGCUUCCUUCAUGAGAACCAAAUAGCAUCAACAUUUCCAGACUCACCUACAGGUGAGACAAUACCCCUUCCUGAGCUAGAAAGUUGCUCCCUUAUCACAACUACUUUAAUCUGGGAAUCAAAGCAUUUCAGGAGACUGCCAUUCCCUGAGUCCCUUGGACCUGGAGGCCUGCCGCUCAAUUGAUCACUGAGCCCAAGAAGGGGGUAAUGCCAAGUAGCUUGGGCCAUUAAGGGGUCACCUUUGAGCAUGGGGCAGGCUGAUCCAACAAGAUAUGAGGAUACUACACAACGAGUUUGUGAACUGGUAACCUAUAAAAGUAUAAUGGUGAUGCUUGUACAACAAUGUGAAUAUACUUAAUGCCACUGAACUGCACGCUUAGAAAGAAAGCAUAAUGAAGGAAGAGUAAAGGACUCCUUCAUCUCCCCCUUUAUGUCACUCGUCUUCCUAUAAUAACCUUUUCUUUUUUUUUUUUUUUUUUUUUUGAGAUGGAGUCUCUGUCUGUCACCCAGGCUAGAGUGCCGUGGCGCUAUCUUGGCUCACUGCAACCCUCGCCUCCCUUCCGGGGUCAAGUGAUUUUUC
rnacentral:lncRNA from 1 species